rnacentral:lncRNA from 1 species
UAGGGCUAAUCUAAUAUGAUGCAUUACCUGAUGUGUACAGACUUUGCAUAUAAGCUGCAGUGUUUGUUUAUUCAGCCAUAAAAUGGAGCAAACCAGUUAAUUGUGUGACUUGGUAACUGCAUAAGUACUUCUCCUGUGCAGCCAAGUGCUUAAAAUACAGAUGAGUUGAACUGUGUGCACCCAAAUGACAUAUGGACUUAAAGGAAGGCAGAUAUGACUUAUAUUAAAGCUGAUACAAUGUUUACUUUUUGUUUGAAAAAAUAAAUUCACUCUCUUGUUUUACUAGGAAUGGCCCAAUAUUGUCCUUACAAAGAUAAAUGUGACAAAAUUUCAUCACUUCUAUGCUAAAAAUAUAAUCCAGAGCAUGACCUCAGUGAAAGGUUUAAAGUUUUCAGGAUCAGACCCAAAAUGAUAAGUGGAAAGGGGGAAAUAAAAAGUAUUUUGCUGCUUAGAUACCUUCACAACCCUUAGGCAGAGCAUGUGCCAGCUCUCCCAUCAGCAAGGUGAAGAAAUCAAACUACCAGGGAUCCCAGGGUUAAGAAAGCUCCUGACAACCUCCUGAGGUCACUUCAGACAAAGCCAGCUCAGGAAUCAGAUCCUGUCUCAGCUCCUGUUCAAGAACCUCGCUGUCAGAAGUCUGCAAGUGCUGCCAUGAGGUGCUGCAAGGCAACAAACUGAUGAGACAGCUGCAAAGAGACCCUGAGCAGUGGUGGAAUGAAACUGGGAGAGCAGGGAUUCAUCCAUCCAAAGAACCAGGAGGUUUUUAUCACUGCAGACAGUGCUGAUCCUCAGGUCCACAAAAGAAAAGUUAAGGAAUGGAGAUAACCUGUGUGUGGCAGGAUGCAAAAGCUCUCUAGGGGUAGGACAUAAAAUAAUAAAUGAGUUGAUGAUAAGAGGUAAAGAGAUCA